rnacentral:rRNA from 1 species
UACAGAGGUCCCGAGCGUUGUUCGGAUUCACUGGGCGUAAAGGGUGCGUAGGUGGCAUGGUAAGUUUGAUGUGAAAGCUCAGGGCUUAACCCUGAAAUGGCAUUGAAUACUACUGUGCUGGAGGUUUGGAGGGGGGACUGGAAUUCUUGGUGUAGCAGUGAAAUGCGUAGAUAUCGAGAGGAACACCAGUGGCGAAGGCGAGUCCCUGGACAACUCCUGACGCUGAGGCACGAAAGCGAGGGGAGCAAACAGG